rnacentral:pre_miRNA from 1 species
ACAACAUUCGGAUCGACGGUCUACGGAGUAAUGUCGCUCGCUCGGUGGAAGAUCUUCCUUUUUCCU